AAAUUAAUGGCUGGAGGAUCCUAAACUAACAUAUGGCAUUUUGUUUCAAUUUCUCUUUACCUGAUUGUGUUACUUAUGCACAAUCACCAUACUUGACAUAGGUCCCUGCACUUCCGUUGACGAGUAUUUUGUCAGCAUCUCGAUGCGGAGCGUUGUAGCGCCCUUGGCACAAGGUGACCAUCUUCAGCGCAUCGUGGUGUCGCUGCCCACACGAUCUCUACAGACACCACAAAAGGCUACAGGACCGACAAGGCCGGUGGCCUGACCACUGAAUCACGUUGUUGUGCGGGCGCCUUGAUCUCGCAUGCGGCCGUCUAAAGCCCCAGGGGCCAACCUCGCUCAAGCGUCGCCGACAGGCUCUCUUUUGCACAGGAGAAAAUGGUUGGAUAUAUGUGCCUCCUCCGUCUCUUAUUCCCUGAAAUGUAAUUUGAUGACUCAUUGAUGUCACACUCGCUUAGGAUUAAACUGCACAGGUUAGAUUGACAUUUUGCCCUGUGUUUAAUUACUACAUGCACUGCACGCUGAUCCAUGUAUAUAUUGGCUCCCCUAUAUAUACC
rnacentral:rRNA from 1 species